UGCAAGAAGGAGCGUAUGUUGUGAUUGUUGUAGUUGUAGUUGUGGGCGCAGGAAUAAAAAAGAAGUAGAAAAUAAACGAAUUGCGCUUAGUUACGAGAGUUGAAGAGUUUAAAAGCGAACAAUGAAAU